rnacentral:lncRNA from 1 species
GCCUUCUUUGCACCGCUUCUUUCCGAACUAAAGAAGAAUUCUUUCAUGGACUAGAACUGGUACCAAAGUCCGUUUGGAGCCCGGAAUAUCCGCACCACGGAACUUCUUCGUAACCCGGCGUCUCCAGGCUGGUGAGCAAGCAAAGGGGAGCAAAAAAGAUGCGGGAGGGCGCUGCUGAGAGACGCCGGGGACACAGGCGGCCAAUGCUCCUUCCCUUCCUGCUGCCUUUGUUCUGCCCCGCGCUCUCUGAGCAGAUCCGUUACAAGAUCCCCGAGGAAAUGCCCACCGGCUCGGUAGUGGGAAACCUCGCCAAGGACUUGGGCUUCGGUGUCCAGGAGUUACCGACGCGAAAGCUACGCAUCAGUUCUGAGAAGCCUUACUUCACUGUGAGCUCAGAGAG